rnacentral:rRNA from 1 species
UAGGGAAUCUUCCACAAUGGGCGAAAGCCUGAUGGAGCAACGCCGCGUGUGUGAUGAAGGGUUUCGCUCGUAAACACUGUUGUAAGAGAAGAAUGACAUUGAGAGUAACUGUUCAAUGUGUGACGGUAUCUUACCAGAAAGGAACGGCUAAAUACGUGCCAG